rnacentral:misc_RNA from 1 species
GAUGAAGAACGUAGCGAAAUGCGAUACGUAAUGUGAAUUGCAGAAUUCAGUGAAUCAUCGAGUCUUUGAACGCACAUUGCGCCCCCUGGUAUUCCGGGGGGCAUGCCUGUCCGAGCGUCAUUGCUGCCCUCAAGCACGGCUUGUGUGUUGGGCCUCCGUCCUCCUCCCGGGGGACGGGCCCGAAAGGCAGCGGCGGCACCGCGUCCGGUCCUCGAGCGUAUGGGGCUUCGUCACCCGCUCUUGUAGGCCCGGCCGGCGCUUGCCGACACAUCAAUCUUUUUUCCAGGUUGACCUCGGAUCAGGUAGGGAUACCCGCUGAACUUAAGCAUAUCAAUAGGCGGAGGA